UUUUCUCUCUCUUUUCCGCUCCUGCCUCUCUUCUCUUCUCUUUUUUUUUCAAUAGAUUAGCCGAGAAACCAUCACAGAAACCUCUCUUGUUUUCUCCAUCAUCUUCAAUAAUCUUUAAUCAUCGAUCUAUGUAAACUUGAUUCUGACAUGGAAUUAUGGAUUGAGUUUGUCGCAAUAUUGGAAUUAGAAGGCUACAGGAAGAAGAAGAAGAAAAUGGAGGAGAUGGUUAAGAACAAGAAGCUUCCGAGGAAGUCUGUUGUUUGCUGUGAUGGUAGAAGGAAGGUAGCUGAAAUGGGUGCUUGUUUGAGUAUUUGCAUCUGAGUUAGAUGGUGAAAUUGCAGAGAUGGUUGCAGAGAUGCAAGAGUUAUAUGUGGAUGAAAAGACUGCGCGUUCAAGAGGUUUUGGGUUUGUUAACUUAAGGAACCAGCAGAGUUCACUCCUUGAAUAUGAAUUCAGAGUCACAGAGCUAUUUUAAAAUCUACAAGACUCACAAAAGAGGAGAGAAGACUACUAAAGACCCCUUCUCCCUUGUUCUCUCCGCCUCUACCUUUUUGUUUCUCAAACUUGAAGAUUUAUUUGUUUCUCAUCUUUCUUUCUCUGCUGAUACUCUCUCUUGUUUUUGUUGUCUUUGGUGUUCAGGGUUCAGGUAAAAUAGAGAUGGUUACUGCUUGAUGAUGAUGGUGCUGGAGUUAUCAGUUUAACAUUUGCUUUCUUAAUACUGUUUUUCUUUCAGGAGCAACAACUGGUUUUAGUUUCUCAUCAAGGAUUUUUGAAAAGUUUUGAAUGAUGCUAGACAGACACCAGGAUUUUGCUUACUACACCGGAGGUCGGUUUCCAAGUCAUUCACAAAAAAUGUUUUCAAUUACUCAACUAUUCAGUCGGGUUCUUUUAUGAUUUUACGGGUUUUUAUAAGUUCUUUUACUCAAUAUCAGCUCUCAACUCUUUUCAUUUAAUAGUUUCAUGAUUAUUUGUGAAACCCUGCAACAAAACGGAAUUCUUGUUACUCUUAUGGAAUUCAUUCCACAUUAAGUGUUUUUUAUCCCUGAGUUACAAUACUUUCUCUGUUUGUAAGCAUUGUUUGCAGCAGCAAAGACCGUUGAUCAUUUAAAACUUGUUCGUAGUUGCACAAUUACUUCCUGCUAGUUUGUAAUGGUGUUUAUCAACAAUAGAACUACAAUCUGGAGUCUAAAAACCUGUGUUUUCGUGUAUGUGCAGGUUCAGACCUUGAACAAGGCGUCAUCUAUAAAAGUAAUUGUUGAUUGAUGAUAUCACGAGCCUUGGGGACCUGCCAUCUCAUAGAGGUAGAUAAUGCUAACAAGAAAAUUCUCAGUGGAACCACUGGCUUCAAGCACUUCAAUAUAGGAAGUAAUUAGGUGUGGAGAUGUUUUCGCGUGAAAUUGUAGCUGCAAUUAGGUAUACAAUUUCAUAAUUACAGAUUAUGUUCAUAAUCUUUGUAAUAAACAGAAUUUGUAUUUCCUCAUAGGAAUUCAUCUAGUCUUUCAACUAAAUUGACUUAGGAAUUCUCUAAAGUUUCAAAACAGAUUGUAUUCCUUAAAAAUUUAGGUCAAAAUUUCAGUUCUUUUGUUAUAUAAAUCUGAGAUGAAUUGAAUGAAUGUGAUAUAAAUAGAUAGAAGAAAUAGUUGUUGGGUGUGGUUA